rnacentral:snoRNA from 15 species
AAGACUAUACUUCACAGGAUCAUUUCUGUAGUCAGUCUUCACUUACUUUCGCACAAAUUGAAAGCCAAACACACCCGCGUUGAUGAGUUAAAUCGUCCUAUUCGGCAGCGUGAGGUUUUGCCCAGCGCCCUUUCUGGUGCGGCACUUCGGUGUCCGUGUCGUUCGGGGCGCAGAGCUUCGAUGAUCGCUCGGUAAAACGGAUAGAACGAAUUCUGAGUGGU